GGGUUGUGAGGUUAAGCGACUAAGCGUACACGGUGGAUGCCCUGGCAGUCAGAGGCGAUGAAGGACGUGCUAAUCUGCGAAAAGCGUCGGUAAGGUGAUAUGAACCGUUAUAGCCGGCGAUGUCCGAAUGGGGAAACCCAGUGCAAUUCGUUGCACUAUCGUUAACUGAAUACAUAGGUUAACGAGGCGAACCGGGGGAACUGAAACAUCUAAGUACCCCGAGGAAAAGAAAUCAACCGAGAUUCCCCCAGUAGCGGCGAGCGAACGGGGAGCAGCCCAGAGUCUGAAUCAGCUUGUGUGUUAGUGGAACGGUCUGGAAAGUCCGACGGUACAGGGUGAUAGUCCCGUACACCAAAAUGCACAGGCUGUGAACUCGAAGAGUAGGGCGGGACACGUGGUAUCCUGUCUGAAUAUGGGGGGACCAUCCUCCAAGGCUAAAUACUCCUGACUGACCGAUAGUGAACCAGUACCGUGAGGGAAAGGCGAAAAGAACCCCGGCGAGGGGAGUGAAAAAGAACCUGAAACCGUGUACGUACAAGCAGUGGGAGCACCUUCGGGUGUGACUGCGUACCUUUUGUAUAAUGGGUCAGCGACUUAUAUUCUGUAGCAAGGUUAACCGUAUAGGGGAGCCGCAGGGAAACCGAGUCUUAACUGGGCGUUAAGUUGCAGGGUAUAGACCCGAAACCCGGUGAUCUAGCCAUGGGCAGGUUGAAGGUUGGGUAACACUAACUGGAGGACCGAACCGACUAAUGUUGAAAAAUUAGCGGAUGACUUGUGGCUGGGGGUGAAAGGCCAAUCAAACCGGGAGAUAGCUGGUUCUCCCCGAAAGCUAUUUAGGUAGCGCCUCGUGAAUUCAUCUUCGGGGGUAGAGCACUGUUUCGGCUAGGGGGUCAUCCCGACUUACCAACCCGAUGCAAACUACGAAUACCGAAGAAUGUUAUCACGGGAGACACACGGCGGGUGCUAACGUCCGUCGUGAAGAGGGAAACAACCCAGACCGCCAGCUAAGGUCCCAAAGUCAUGGUUAAGUGGGAAACGAUGUGGGAAGGCACAGACAGCCAGGAUGUUGGCUUAGAAGCAGCCAUCAUUUAAAGAAAGCGUAAUAGCUCACUGGUCGAGUCGGCCUGCGCGGAAGAUGUAACGGGGCUAAACCAUGCACCGAAGCUGCGGCAGCGACACUAUGUGUUGUUGGGUAGGGGAGCGUUCUGUAAGCCUGCGAAGGUGUGCUGUGAGGCAUGCUGGAGGUAUCAGAAGUGCGAAUGCUGACAUAAGUAACGAUAAAGCGGGUGAAAAGCCCGCUCGCCGGAAGACCAAGGGUUCCUGUCCAACGUUAAUCGGGGCAGGGUGAGUCGACCCCUAAGGCGAGGCCGAAAGGCGUAGUCGAUGGGAAACAGGUUAAUAUUCCUGUACUUGGUGUUACUGCGAAGGGGGGACGGAGAAGGCUAUGUUAGCCGGGCGACGGUUGUCCCGGUUUAAGCAUGUAGGCUGGUUAUCCAGGCAAAUCCGGAUAAUCAAGGCUGAGGUGUGAUGACGAGGCACUACGGUGCUGAAGUAACAAAUGCCCUGCUUCCAGGAAAAGCCUCUAAGCAUCAGGUAACAUCAAAUCGUACCCCAAACCGACACAGGUGGUCAGGUAGAGAAUACCAAGGCGCUUGAGAGAACUCGGGUGAAGGAACUAGGCAAAAUGGUGCCGUAACUUCGGGAGAAGGCACGCUGGUGUGUAGGUGAAGCCCCUGCGGGUGGAGCUGAGACCAGUCGAAGAUACCAGCUGGCUGCAACUGUUUAUUAAAAACACAGCACUGUGCAAACACGAAAGUGGACGUAUACGGUGUGACGCCUGCCCGGUGCCGGAAGGUUAAUUGAUGGGGUUAUCCGUAAGGAGAAGCUCUUGAUCGAAGCCCCGGUAAACGGCGGCCGUAACUAUAACGGUCCUAAGGUAGCGAAAUUCCUUGUCGGGUAAGUUCCGACCUGCACGAAUGGCGUAAUGAUGGCCAGGCUGUCUCCACCCGAGACUCAGUGAAAUUGAACUCGCUGUGAAGAUGCAGUGUACCCGCGGCAAGACGGAAAGACCCCGUGAACCUUUACUAUAGCUUGACACUGAACAUUGAGCCUUGAUGUGUAGGAUAGGUGGGAGGCUUUGAAGCGUGGACGCCAGUCUGCGUGGAGCCAACCUUGAAAUACCACCCUUUAAUGUUUGAUGUUCUAACGUUGGCCCCUGACCGGGGUUGCGGACAGUGUCUGGUGGGUAGUUUGACUGGGGCGGUCUCCUCCUAAAGCGUAACGGAGGAGCACGAAGGUUAGCUAAUCCUGGUCGGACAUCAGGAGGUUAGUGCAAUGGCAUAAGCUAGCUUGACUGCGAGCGUGACGGCGCGAGCAGGUGCGAAAGCAGGUCAUAGUGAUCCGGUGGUUCUGAAUGGAAGGGCCAUCGCUCAACGGAUAAAAGGUACUCCGGGGAUAACAGGCUGAUACCGCCCAAGAGUUCAUAUCGACGGCGGUGUUUGGCACCUCGAUGUCGGCUCAUCACAUCCUGGGGCUGAAGUAGGUCCCAAGGGUAUGGCUGUUCGCCAUUUAAAGUGGUACGCGAGCUGGGUUUAGAACGUCGUGAGACAGUUCGGUCCCUAUCUGCCGUGGGCGCUGGAGAAUUGAGGGGGGCUGCUCCUAGUACGAGAGGACCGGAGUGGACGCAUCACUGGUGUUCGGGUUGUCAUGCCAAUGGCACUGCCCGGUAGCUAAAUGCGGAAGAGAUAAGUGCUGAAAGCAUCUAAGCACGAAACUUGCCCCGAGAUGAGUUCUCCCUGAGACUUUAAGUCUCCUGAAGGAACGUUAAAGACGAUGACGUUGAUAGGCCGGGUGUGUAAGCGCAGCGAUGCGUUGAGCUAACCGGUACUAAUGAACCGUGAGGCUUAACCUUACAACGCCGAAG
rnacentral:rRNA from 1 species